rnacentral:sRNA from 1 species
GCGUACUUAGGCUCGCCCGCGCAGCCCUGCUUUUCCGGGCUGUCACGGCGUUGCUAGGCGCGCUUCCCUCCCCCGGGAGCGCGCCGAUUUUUU